GACGAACGCUGGCGGCGUGCUUAACACAUGCAAGUCGAACGGUAAGGCCCUUCGGGGUACACGAGUGGCGAACGGGUGAGUAACACGUGGGUGAUCUGCCCUGCACUUCGGGAUAAGCCUGGGAAACUGGGUCUAAUACCGGAUAGGACCACUGCCUGCAUGGGCGGUGGUGGAAAGCUUUUGCGGUGUGGGAUGGGCCCGCGGCCUAUCAGCUUGGUGGUGGGGGGAUGGCCUACCAAGGCGACGACGGGUAGCCGGCCUGAGAGGGUGACCGGACGCACUGGGACUGAGGUACGGCCCAGACUCCUACGGGAGGCAGCAGUGGGGAAUAUUGCACGAUGGGCGCAAGCCUGAUGCAGCGACGCCGCGUGAGGGAUGACGGCCUUCGGGUUGUAAACCUCUUUCAGCACCGACGAAGCGCAAGUGACGGUAGGUGCAGAAGAAGGACCGGCCAACUACGUGCCAGCCGCCGCGGUAA
rnacentral:rRNA from 1 species